UCUCCGUUGGUGAACCAGCGGAGGGAUCAUUACAGGACUCGCAAGCCUCCUUACACCCUGUGAACCUUACUGUAUUGGCGUUGCUUCGGCGGGUCCGCCCGCCGGCAGCAUACCACAUUCUGUUUCUCUGCGUUGGCAUGUCGAGAAAAAAGCAAAUAAGUUAAAACUUUCAACAACGGAUCUCUUGGUUCUG
rnacentral:misc_RNA from 1 species